GAAAUGCGCAACAUGUAUUUCCACUAAAAGUAACUUUUCUCGCGUUUAACCAAAUUCCCAGUUAAUUUUAGCAAGCUCUCCUAGCAAGUCGCCCCAUCUACACUGGAAUUGAUUCAUAAUUUCACUCCGAAGGAACAUCCUCCCGGGCGAGCCACCACGCCGCCUGGUCACAGAGGAGGUCCGAGGCGGGCACUGGAAAGACGUGCGAGAGACACUUUCAGUGACCCAUACGGUCCGCGCCCGCCCCUACUGCCACCGGACGACUUCUCCCAGCAGAGACACGGGGUGUCCCACUGAAUCCCAAGUGGGCUGCAGUGUCUGUGGGGUUUUGUGGUUUCCGUUCAAAUCUCAAGGCCUAAAUCAGCGGCUGAACAAGGUGUGUGGAUUCCUCAGCUAAUCAGUGAUUUACAGUAAAAGAAAGACUGUGCUAAGAACACCCCAAAACCUGCAGACACAGCGCCCCCUGCAGGACUGGAGUUAAACCUGCAGCCACUGCGGCCCUGCAGGA